UGUCCCAGAUUUCUGACCCGUUCACCACUUCUCACCACUAUCCUUAACCCAUCUCGCCUGUUGACUUGAAAAUUGAAUUGCGACACAAGUUUAGAAUCCACAAAGCUAUGGGUACUUCUAGAAUCAACCAAUGAUAUCUGUGAAUUUCCUUUCAAUUGCCUUGAAAAUGCAUAUUUUGUGGGGCUGUGAUACAUAUGAUGGAUUCCAAAGAAAUUUGAGGUUGUCUGUACUAGGAUUUGACUCUUAUUUGACAGAUUUUCCCACCUCUUCAUCUACAAGUCAAUUAAGACUAAUUUCUUGCACUAAUGGCCCUGAGUGAAUGGUUCGUCACAGUUGAAACAGAGUCCCUUGAGUCAUCUUUCCUCCAUCUCAGUUCUAGUCAAUUUCCCAAAUCUGGUGCAUUAUUGAGGUUACAUUGCAAUCUGGGUAAUUUGAAGGAGAAGUACGGCUCAGAAUAGAUGAUGUUCAGCUUCCUAAGCAUAUGUCUGAGACAAAUGGUUUAACUGAACAAAUGGACUCAUCCACACCUCAGGAAGAAUGCAAAUGGGGUAACUAUGCUAGAGGAGCAAUAUAUGCCCUGCAGAGCAAAGGAAAUCAUCUGAAAACGGUUAGUAAGGUUUCUUUGGCUGCUGGUUGAUAGACAUAUGUGAUAUGCUUAGUUUACCAAACCAGUUGAUUCCAUUUAUGUUA